GUAAUGCCGGAUGCUCCGACUCCUCGCAUGGGGUGUCGGGAAAGAUUUCAUCGGUAUGGGAUGGGGUCGCGUCCUAUCAGGUAGUCGGCGGGGUAACGGCCCACCGAGCCUACGACGGGUAGCCGGCCUGAGAGGGCGACCGGCCACAUUGGGACUGAGAUACGGCCCAGACUCCUACGGGAGGCAGCAGUGGGGAAUAUUGCACAAUGGGCGCAAGCCUGAUGCAGCGACGCCGCGUGCGGGAUGACGGCCUUCGGGUUGUAAACCGCUUUUGAUCGGGAGCAAGCCUUCGGGUGAGUGUACCUUUCGAAUAAGCACCGGCUAACUACGUGCCAGCAGCCGCGGUAAUACGUAGGGUGCAAGCGUUAUCCGGAAUUAUUGGGCGUAAAGGGCUCGUAGGCGGUUCGUCGCGUCCGGUGUGAAAGUCCAUCGCUUAACGGUGGAUCUGCGCCGGGUACGGGCGGGCUGGAGUGCGGUAGGGGAGACUGGAAUUCCCGGUGUAACGGUGGAAUGUGUAGAUAUCGGGAAGAACACCACCC
rnacentral:rRNA from 1 species